UUGGAAGCAGCCCACCACCAUCUUGGGAGCUCUGGGAGCAAGGACCCCCCGGUAACAAACAGACACAAGAGAAUUAGGAUACUAUAAGAAGAUUGGGAUAGAUACUGAGUGAGCCUCAGAAAAUCAGCUGGAUACACCCCAGCUCCCUCCCACCACAUGAACUAAAGAUCUGCAAGCUGUAACCUUUUCCGAAGGGCUACCUGGGCCUCUGUGUCCAUCAGAGCUGAUGAGCUGAUCUUCAUUCACCAUAAGUGCAACUAUCAUGGCUCAUGGAGCCCUGGAGAGAGUAGCACAUAUAUUGAACUUCAGUUUUAAAAAGUCUAAUACUUUUCUAAAAUGACUUGCUAUCUAUUUCAUCCAGAGAAGAU
rnacentral:lncRNA from 1 species